rnacentral:rRNA from 1 species
AGGGAAGAGCUCAAAUUUAAAAUCUGGCUGCUCUUGCGGCGGUCCGAGUUGUAGUUUAGAGAAGUGCUAUCCGCGCUGGCCUGUGCAAAAGUUUCUUGGAAAAGAACAUCAUAGAGGGUGACAAUCCCGUCUUUGGCACGGACUACCAGGGCUUUUGUGAUGCGCUCUCGACGAGUCGUGUUGUUUGGGAAUGCAGCACUAAAUGGGUGGUAAAUUCCAUCUAAAGCUAAAUAUUGGCGAGAGACCGAUAGCGAACAAGUACCGUGAGGGAAAGAUGAAAAGAACUUUGAAAAGAGAGUUAAACAGUACGUGAAAUUGUUGAAAGGGAAACGCUUGAAGUCAGUCGCGUCUUCCAGGGAUCAAGUUGCCUCCGGGUGACCGCACUUUCUGGUUGAUGGGUCAGCAUCAAUUUUGACCGUCGGACAAAGGCCUGGGGAAUGUGGCAUCUUCGGAUGUGUUAUAGACCCGGGUCGGAUACGAUGGUUGGGAUUGAGGAACUCAGUGUGCCUUCAUGGUUGGGGCUUCUGCUCACACCGCACGCUUAGGAUGCUGGCAUAAUGGCUUUAAUCGACCCG